AGAAUAUUAACUAACUCGCUACUAGUUGUAAUUAUUUUAUUAUAUUAGUAAUGGAGUUGAACAGAAAGUGAUAAGAAUACUUGCUUUGAUCGAGAAGGGGAAGUGACGGAACCGUUGGAGGAAACAGUUGUGUCAGCGGAAGUUGCGGCGGAGAGGGUGAGUUUGUUGCGGCGGGGAGUGGAUGUUGUUGGGAAGAAGAGAGUGGUCGAAUUUGGUUGAAGUGAAAAUGGAGAAAGAGAGUGAGAAUGAGAGAAUUUGAAGGUAUGAAUUGGAGUUAGUGUGGCGGCCAUAGCUAGAAAUGCAAAGAAGCAAAUUGAAAUGAAAUAUCAGUGAGUUGGUGUGGAAGCUUUUAGUGUAUUUUUCAGUGGCUUGUUCUUGGCACCUAAAUUUUUUACCUCCUCUGUUGCUUUCUAAAUUUUAAUUUUUAAUAUUGAAACCAAAUGAGAUUCGUCGUACUUUGUAUUUUUUAACAUAAAAGUGGCUGAUUAAUUUUUUGGAGAAUAUCUUUCUUAUUUUGUUUCUAGAAUUUCUAUGUUACAUUAAAUUCAAUGUAUCGGCACAUUUAAUCUUAAAAUUAAUAACUAAAUAGUUUUUAAAUUUAAUGUAUCCGCAUAUUUAAAUCUUUAAGUUAAUAAUUGAAUACUAUUUCAUAUUUUUUUUAAAUUAUAAUAACUAAAUAUUAUUUAUUAAAAGUGUCAAUGAAACAUAUAUAUUUUAAUUUUUUUUGAAUUUUAUUAUUUAUAAUAGUGAAUAUUAAAUAUUUUUUUGAUAAAAUGUAAAAAAUUAGUAUUAUUUAUUUACUUUGGUAUGUAGAAGGGAUAAAAAAAACUAGUAUAAUGUUUAUAAAUAAUAAAAUGAUGUUUUUUUCUUAUAAAAUAUUAAUUCCUAAAAUACAAAAGUCAAUAAAUAACUAUUUAAUUCAUAAAAUUGGUCAUUAAAGUUGUAGUUUAAAAAAUAAUGUAUCAAAAAAUUUCAAUUUGUGAAUGUACCAUAGAAGUUUUUUUAUAAUGUUUUUUAGCUGAACAACUCUCUCUAAUUAUAAAUUAUCAUUGUAUUUUUCUCAUAUAUUAAAAAAAUUAAUUAAUAAUUUUAAUGGGUCAAUUUAACAUAUAGAUAUUAUUAGAAUAUUAUUUAUACAUUGAUGCAUUUAAUUUUACUUUUCAUUUUUUAAAAUAAAUUAUAAGUAUAAGUAAAUGAUAUAUUUGGAAAAAAAAAUGCACUUAAUUUGACUUUUUUUUUCCAGCAUUAUAGAAAUAGUCACCAACAAAGAUUUAUAAAUCAAUAUUUUUCAUCCAAAAUAUUUUAUUCAAAUGUUCUAUUCCAUAGUUUAAACAUGAAAAAAUAUUUAAACUUUAUCAUAACAUGUUUUUGUGUAAAAUAUUAGUCUUAGUGUAAUAUAUUUUAACUCAUACUUUAUUUUAUUUUUAAGACAGAGCCAACCCAAAACACUGUGAAAGAUUAAUGCAAAUUUAAAAUAUGAGGUGUUUCAGAGUCUAUAAUAGUAUUUUACAAAACAUAUUAAAUUUUUUAUGAAAAUUAUUUUUCUGACAUCAAGUUUAUUAAAUUUUAAAAUAUGAGACCUUUUUUAUUAACUAUAACAAAAUUUUGAAGGCUUUUUUAUCAAAUAAAAAUUUAUUUACUUUUAAAAAUAUAAAACAGUUGUAUAAAACAAGCUACGCCAUUUUAAGAUGUCCCCUGUUUUACAAAACACCAAUUCGGUCGGAAAACAUUUUAUGUGGUUUUCCUAUGUUACAACUUCCUUACCAAUUCGGUCAAAAAAACAUUUUAUGUGGUUUUCCCAUGUUACAACUUCCUUACUAAUUUGGUCAGAAAACAUUUUAUGUGGUUUUUCCAUGUUACAACUUCCUUACCAAUUCGGUCUUUUGUAUAGAAAACAACAAGCUGUAAUUUUAAGAUGCCCCUGUAUAGAAAACAGCCAUUUCUUUAAGAUGUCUUUUAUAACUUUUUUGGCAAGACAGCAAGAUAAAUCAAUAAUUAAAGCAAAUUAAUUUUUAAUAUAUUAUAUCAACUAUUGAUUUACUAUUAAUGAUUAAUAUGAUUCACUUUAUUAUCUAAAACGAAUUAUGUUUAAUUAGACACAUUAUAACCUAUUUAGCAGGUUGCGAAAAAGGCGGUCUGUCAUUUUAAUGGACAAAUUUUUAUGAAAACGAAGGAAAGAAGACUGUAGAUUUUUUCUACACUGUGAAAAUAUUGUUUUUAUCUUUUAAAAUAUGUAUUGAUUUUAAUUUGUUUAUAAGAUGUAAUACUCUUUUAGACAAAAAAAAAUGUGAUACUAUAAAAAGCGAAUUUUUGUGAUAGGAAGAUAGAUAAAAUAACAAUUAUAGAUGGUGCAUUUUUUGAAAACAUAAAGCAAAUUUUGUAAUAUUUGUAUAUUUUAAAAAAUAUGGAUAAUUAUUUACUAUAAAAAUUUAUUACAAAAAAUUAUUUGCUAACAUAAUAGACAGACCUUAUUUCUAAAAAAGUUUUUCAUUAUUCAACCCACUUUAUAUAAAUGUAUUCAAAAUAUAAAUCAUUCUAUAUAACUAAAAUUAAUUUUUGUCCUUUGACCUAUUAAAGAAAGAAUAAAAAAAAAAGAAUAAAAAGGUAAAUUCUAUUAAAGAAAGCACAAGGUUUUUAUUGGAAAUAGUAAUUAUCAUAAAAAAAAAUUAAUUUGUGCAUAUUUAAAAAAAAGACCUAAAAAUAAAAUAAAAUAAAAUAAAAGAUCAAAGCUGUUAUAAAUAAAUAAGAUAUUAUAUUUGUUCUAAAUUAUAUGGUACUUUGGUUAUUUCACACGAACUAAUAAAUAUAAUUAAUUUUAUAUGAAAAUAAAAAAUUAUGGGUUAUUUUACAAAAUUAAUUUUACAGUGAUAUAAAAAAGAUAAAUUAAUAGAAUUUGGAGAAGAGCGAAUAAUAAUUAGUAAAGGAUAGGAUAAGAAAAGAAACCAUAACGUUUAAUUGAUAUAAGACAUGUAAUUUAUGAUUUUUUUGGGUGUGCAAAGUGAGAUAUAAUUUAAGAUGGAGUAGUAAUAAUUAAUAGUAUAAUUUUUCUUUAAUUAAAUAAUUAAAAGUGUUGACUCAAUUACCUUGUCCAACACAUGAAUGUUUGGAGCUUUUUUCUCUACUUAAUCUGUUAAACAUGUUUUCUCUCGUGUGAUGGUGUUGGGCAUUUUAUAUAAUCCUUAUGCAUUCAUCAUCUUUAAUAAUCCUUCAACACUGCAGGUUAACCACCGUGAUGUCCAAUUGGAUAAUAGAGAACAUGUUAUUGCAAGGAGAUCUUGUGAUAAUAAGACAUUCAAUAUUAAAUUUGUAUUAUAAUGAUAUUACAAAUUUAAUGUUAACAAAAGUUGAUGCUUGUUAAAAAGUUAUUACCUAGUGAGGCCUGUGGUUUUUUGCAAUCAUCCUCCAUAAAAAAGGUAUACCAAAAAGCUAAGAUAAUUUCAUAUCUUGAACUUGAAAAAUUAAUAAUAUUUUGAGCAUUGAUAUAUAUUAUAUAAUCAAUUAUAAAUCACCAUCUUUGGUUUUUUACACGGCUUUUGGUUCUUAUUAAUUAAUUUUCUGCAAAAUUUAAUAUUUAGUUCUCCCCUCCCCUCAAAGCUAAAAUUAGUUUGAUCUUGUUUAGGAUGUAUUGGAUAUUUAAUUUUUGUUUUUGAAGAUUCUUUUUGUUGCUUUUACAAAGUUUUUGAAUUUCACCGUCUUUCUAUUCCAGAAGCCAAUAGCUGUAUGGCUGAAAGUUUGUGAAUAAAUUGAACUUCAUUGUUCUUUACUCAACCAUAUUUUCUUCAUAUGAAUAAUUUAUACCUGGUCUGGCCUUGCAGUCGGGUUUGGAGAUUUAUAGAACAUAGAACAUUCAUCAUAUUCUCUUGAUGUAUGUGGUUAAUUGGUUAUUUUCCUGAUUUUUGUAUUCUUAACGUGGUGAAUUUGGACAGGUUAUUGACCUCAGUGUCACAGUGUGGAUCUUAGUGCCGCCGGUGCCGCAGAAGAGUAAAGAAAGCAGGGUGAUUUCCUUUGUGUUUGUUAUGUUGCUGAUGGAGUCCAUACAUUGGCUUGACGUUGUAUGUUAUUAGUUUAUAAUAAAUUAUAAAAUGAUAUAAAUUGUUUUGUUUUGGAAACAGAGUCUGAAUCUAAUAGAAAAUAUGUUUUGAGGGGAAACAUUUUCUCAUCCAAAUAAUACUCGAUUGUGUGUACUACAUUUGUUAUAUCUAGACAUGUAUGUAUGAUGUGCGCUGCACUGGUUUUAGUUUCAGAAUGGAGUUUUAUUUUCAUACUACAAAUUUGCCCGUUUGUUAUAUCAAUGCCCAAGUUUGCAAACGAGACAUGAUAAGUAUUUAUGGGAUCGCUGAAAUUUGAAUUUUUUAGAACGGAUAAAGUAAGAAAAUUAAAUGUCAUUUCAACAAAUUUGUGAUUUGUUAAGUUGUUCACUUUAAAAAAACUAAAUCAAAUAUCACUCUAAAGUCUAUUACAUAUAUAGCCAAUAAUUAAUUAUUAAUAUUAUUCACUUUAUUAUCUAAAACGAUUUGUUCUCAUUAAGCGUGAGAAUAUGUCGGUUCAAACUUUGAAAUGUAUAAGUCUGAUCUACCGUCUAUCAUAAAUUUUAUUUUCGGUCUGGUCUGACCUGAAAGUCUUUUUAAAAACCUAUUUCACAUUAAAACAUUUAAAUAGUAUAUUUUUUUUAAAAAUAGACUAAAUUAAGUCUUUAUAUAUAAGAAAAACUAAUAAACAUAAGAAAAACGAAUAAUAUUAUACUUUUUUUUUUAUCUAUUUAAAUUAAUAAACUUUAAAAAAAAUUGAGUUAAAUAUUUUUGUUAAACAAAUCGGAUUAUACACCACUGACAAACAAUCUGACCUAUUAUGUUCUCGCUUAAGAGAAGUUAUAUAGACACAUUAUGACCCAUUUACCAAGAUGGCGAACACAAAGAUAGUUGUAAUUUUAUUGGAACAAAUUUAUGCAAACGAAAAGAAAGGACUUUUUAGAUUUUGUCUACCUCGUGAAAAUAUUGUUUUUAUCUUUUAAAACAUAUUUUAAUUUGUUAAUAAGAUGCAAUACUCUAAUACAUUAAAAAAAUGUGAUACUCUUAAUGUCAAUUUUUGUUAUAGAAAGAAUAUAAAAUGUCAAUUAUAGAUGGUGCCUUUUUCAAAAAAAAAAAUUAAGAAAAUUGUGACAUUUCUACAUUUUCAAAAAUAUAGAUAAUUUUCAAAAAUCUAUUACAAAAAAUUGAUUUCUAACAUAGACCUUAUUUCUAACAAUAAUUUUCAUUUUAAUUUUUCUUGUAUGAAGUGGUUGGGAUUUUGACAAAAAAAAAUGUAAUUGAGAUGACAUUAAGUUCUAGAUUUUCAUUUCUUAAUGUUGAUAGAGAAGAUGAAAACUAACUAAAGACAAUGUAUUUACAAAAACAUUUAAAACAACAAUGUUUUAAAUUUUUUCUUCAUAAUUUAAAAAAAAAAAUUUAGUGUAUAUUUUGUUUCAUUUUUAAAUGCCUCGAAUUGAUUUUUGAUGCUUAAAAUUGAUUUUGACAUUUUUAAAUUUUCUCAUUUGAUUUUACAUUUAAAAUUAAUUAUAAUAUAAUUAGAAUUUGUAACUUUCGACUCUAAAUAUAAAUUUAAACUACUAUUAUUCAACUUUACGCAAACGUAUUCAAAAUAUAAUUCACUAUAUUCAGCUCAUUUAUAACUAAAAUUAAUUUUACAAAACCAAUUUUUCCUAUAACCUAAGACACUUGAUGUAUUUUUAAAAUAAAUUUUCAAAAACUUGCACAAUUUUCUUUAAUGUUUAUUUUAUUAGUAAACACGGAAAAACGAAAUUCCUUAAAUAAACAAGCCCCAAAGGAAAGGAAGUUGUUGAUUUUGAAAAUUUUUUAAAAAAAAGUCUGAUGUCAGUUUCGAAGCCUAGAUUUGUAUUAGAGUCUAUGAUGCUACAGUGGCCUGGGGUAGAUACUGAUCAUUUGCCAAACAUUAAAACGCAUUUUAAUUUGUAAGGCAAAAAAACUAGCAAGUACAGUAUAAUCAAAGUUGUACAACCCCAAAAAGUGUGCCUUCCUUUGCCCGGACGAAGAGAUUAUAAAGGAAAAGAGUAUCCACGCAGAUACCUGGAGUCCACGCCUGAAUCGCGGACCAGUGCUAUGCGUCCGGUUCGUGCCACCUGAAACAAGAAAGAUUAACGAAUACAAAAAGAAAGCAAAUGCAUCCACUGUGACUCUGAAAUACAUGGAACCAGUUGCAACAAAAUAUCUACCAUAUAGGUGGGAAAGAUUAAUAAAACAGACCUCACAAAUGCCAUAGGGUUCUAACAAUCUCUGCAAUGCAACCAUCUUGUCCAGAUCUCCAGUAAGCUGACAUAAGAGCAUAUUACUUAGUUCCAGAUACAAUUUAAAAAUAUUAAUGGAUCCAAAGUCAGUAAUUUAAUAACUUCAUUUAUAUUUGCAUCAGAAGUUCGGCAUAACUGGAUUCUUGACAUAUAUCUACAUAUUGUUCACCUCAAGGGUUAUUGUAUGAUCGGACACAUCAACAGCUCUAGCCCUGAAAAUGCUGGCAAUAUCAAGGACAUCACGUCGUGCAGCAGCAUUUACAGCAAUCUUUAUUAGCAUCAAUUCUCUCUCAGCAAAUGGCACGUGGGUUAUAUCACGGACCUGGAAAAAUAUCAGUUAAGAUGCACAAGUAUAAAAUGGCCAGUUUUUUUUUAAUAUAUAUGUAUAUAAAAAUGAUCAAAUAUUAUUGUACUAUAUGUAUGAACAAGAUUCUUAAUAAUAAAGUGCAACAGCAAGAUAAAAUGUAUUCUUCAAGUAAGAUAUUUAAUAGCUGUUUGGGUUGACAUUCCUGAAUAAGAUUAAUAGUCAGAGGACUCUCAAAAACUAGUCAGGUUUCAUUAAUAACAGGGUACAAGAUAAAUUUCAAAUUUCUCUUAUUAAAAAGUACGUUCGAAUAUUUAACUGUGACUAAUCAAUUUUGUUACCAUGGGUUGUUAAAUCCUAAUAAAGGUUUCCGGGUUCCAACACACAUUUCCUGUUGUGGCUAGGUGGAUAAACAGAGAAAAAACAAAGAAUUUAAUGUGGUUUGACCUAGACCUAUGUCCAUAGGCAUCAACAAAGGGAAAAGACACAAUCAAUAGAGAUUACAAGGAUUAGCCAUUCCACACUCAAAUCCUAAACCCAACACCUAAAUCCUCACAGCCACUUAGUGUUAGAACUUAACAACAUAAUAGGAUCAUGCCAAGGGAAUGGUAGUAUCAGCAACAAGCCCAGUUCCCGUUCCUCCUCCUGUUUCCCCACAAAUCUCCUUAUAAAAGCUUAGUUGGAUCAGAUUCGUACACUUCUCUGCUUGAGUCACAUGUGGUCGGGCUGAGCCCCCUAUGUACACUUUUGUGCCCACUAUUACAAUGGUGGAGACCGACAUUUAAAAUGCUAGAGAACUCUGCAACCAGUUGUACUAAAAAAUUAUAAAGCUAACAGUUUAUUUAUGGCAUGAUGCAUGUUUUGGGUAGAGAUAUUAAACCUCAUGCAGCUCCACUAACUUAUAGAGCUGCUGCACCAACUUGCUGAUUGACUCAUCUGUACCAGGAACCACAGUUGUAAGCCGAGAAACUCCUUCAACUUCUGAAUGUCCUACAGCUAAACUCUGGAAAGAGAGCACAUUCAAGCAAAUGAAUGAACAGAGAAAUUAAAAUGGUCAGACAUGUCUGUAUGCAAUUUUACACAAACAUCAAAGUGAAAACAACACUGAAGAAGAAAACCUGAAUGUUAUAGCCCCUUCUAGCAAAGACCCCUGUGACACAGUUCAGAACUCCGGGAGCAUCGUUCACGAGCAUGGAUAAAGUGUGUGAUCGAAUUCCGCUUGUCUGAAGGUAUGAUCCCAACGAUCAGAAAAUUACAUGCAAAUCCAAGAAAAUUAUAUGGUAGUGUACGAGCACCAGCUACAUUUUUGGCUCUUUAAAAGCAAAAAAUACAAAAUCGUGAUUUUCAGAAAAUCAAAACCAUGUUAGCUCAACUUAAAUAAAUUUCAGUACAAGAAAAUAAUCACAAAUUGCAGUGCUACUCUAACAAUGAGAAGAAAUUUCACAAAGCAAAACCUUGUAUGUGAAAAACAAAAGCUUCAGCAGUCAAAGACUUUUAAGUUUUACCAAUAAAAACUUAUAAAUGUGUUGAACACGCUCUACUUAUUGAAAGUAGUGCGAAUAUCCAAAAUAAUGUUUACUUCACUUGACACAAUUUCACAAAAAAGAUUUAAUGUUUGGUUACUGUUAGGAUCCUUUCUUUGAUCAACUUGAUCAAGAAAGGAUAACCCUCCAUAUAUUCUAUAUCCUAACAAUUGCUUUGAGCCAACAUUGACUUUUUUUCUAAACCCUCCAUUUGAGUAAAGGUGAUGGCCUAAACACACUUAAACUCUCCAUCUGAGUAAAAAUUGACUUUGAGCCAAACUCACUUUUAAUCAAUGUUCAAAUGCUCAGCCAAACACACACUUAAAAGAAUAACCCUCCUAAGCUAUGAGAAGUUCAACCAGAUAGAGAAAAGAAAUAGAAUGAACCAGCUGGCAUUUCUAAAUCUCUCAGAAGGGCAUCAGAUGCAGGAUCUUAUCCUCCCAUUAGAAUACAAGAUAUGGAACCUUCAUCCUUGGAUAAGACAUGUUCCACAUGUCUUCAGCUAAUUAAUCUUAUUUUAAGUAUUUUUUAUUUUUAAUGGCUAGAAAUAUUACGAAGUGUUUGGAAACUGAAGCUAACAACUUCACGUCAAAAUGACAAACUAUGAGCAUAGUGCACAAGGCUCCUGUCAUGGUAAAUAAUAACUAUACAACUUGACAAUAAAAUUCAAAUGCAAAACAAACAAAAAAUCAAAUAGAAAUGUAAUUUCUGUUUAAUAAAAAAAACUCUACACUCUAAAGGGGAACAUCAAGUAAAAGAACACUAUCAAGAACCUGCAAAUAAGGAUUAUAAUGCAUUAAAAGAAAACAUAAAAGGGAGACAGCUAAGGACAAUGAAGUACUAUAAACCAUCUUACAUCCUCCUCGUUGAGAACACCCCAGUGAGCAUCGAGUACUUGAUUGACUGUAAAACUGUCUGAAGGCUCUAUAGGAUAAACAUCCCCCUUCACACAAGCAAACAUGUCAAAAGAAAAGAGAAGGUCAGAGACUAGAUCGGAAUUUACUGAUGACCAAAUAAAUCAAGUACAUAAGGGACAAAUAACAUUGAACAUGUCGAUAGUGGAAUGCAUUGAAGUCACUGUUAGCAUCAUUCUGUGCAGUAGUUAAAAAUGUAUUCCUCUUUAGUUGGUCAUUGAAAUUUUAUAAAAAAAAAAAAAUAAGAACAGUUGAUGUUAAGCAAAGACAACAAAGAUUCAACAUAAUAUAAAUUGAUACCCUAGUAACCUAGAAAACAUCACUGAAUUUCUACCAAAGACAAGUGGCAAGAAUCAAUAUUGCUUUGAAAUCUGGUACCAAAGGGAAGUUAGAGAGAGGGAGAGAAUGAAAAGCAAUAUAUAAAUAAAGAACAGAGUUAAAAACCACAUACAACCCACAGUCAAUAUGAGUGCUCUGAAGGGUUCUUAGAAAAACAACUGUUGAAAGGCUGCACAGCCAGCACAAGUGCGUGCUAGAAAUCACAACUCAGCUUAAAAUGGCAAUUAGCAGAAUACCAAAGGGAAUACAUAAACAUAGUCCUAUUCCAUUACAAGCUUAAGGAAAAAAUAACAUACAAAGGCAAGACUAGUGUUACUCAGAUGCACAAAAGAAUUGCAUAAACUGAAAACUACCAUAAAUCUCCAGCCUUUGUAUGUUUGACAAAACCUUUCAAACAAAUUAUUAAAAACUGUUCCAAAGUGGGAGGGAUAAAGGAUGGUCAAUUAUAAAGAUCAAUAGCUGAAAUGUCACAAAGUUGAAACUAAGCUCACUUGUGAUUUUUAAAUCUAACAUUUUUUAUAGAUUUGUCAAUUUUUUUUAUUUUUAAGUCAAUAUAUAUUUCAAAUUUGAAGUUGAAGUGUUUGAAAAUACAGGUGAAAAUAAAGGAUGACCGACUACAGAGAUCACGAAAGUUGAAACAAAGCUCACUUGUGAUUUUUAAAUCUAACAUUUUUGAUAGAUUUGUCAAUAUAUUUCAAAUUUGAAGUUGAAGUGUUUGAAAAUACAUGUCAAAAUAAGGAAAUGGUAGGAUUAGAGUAUGUAAGAUCAUACCCCGACAGGCAUAUCAGUUUUGUCAACAGGAUUCACGCUUUUCGAUCCAACAAGGGCAUUAAUAGUUGUUUUUCUUUCAAGGUCUGGAUAUGAAGCAGCUGAAUACCGCCAAAAUGGCGCAGAUGCACCCAUCUUUUCCCUUCUUAAUGCAAUCUAAGUACAGUUACAUCAUCAGAUUAGUAACAUUUGCAGUCUUACAAAUUACAGUACAAUGAAUGAGAAAGGGAACAUGAUAAAAGGAGUUAAUGAAAUUUCUUAGGUACUCAAUUGAGUUUUCUAACCUUUCCAGUUCUAGAUAUUUCUUUAAUUCCAAACUUGCUUAAACUUCUUUGAACUGCAACCAUCUUUCCUGGGUCUCCAGUAACCUGUAACAUACACAGAAUAACUCACCUGAAAUUACCACGUGAUUGUAUCACCAAAUCGUAAAAUGGUAAUGGUGAUGACUGGAUAAUUGUAAGAUGGAAAGGAAAAUAUGAAACAAAACACAUGAGCAAACAUGCUUGAAUAUAUAUACCCAACUCAUAUCAGCACAUUUUUUUAUUCUCGAUGUUAUUUAAAGACUGAUAGGAAAUCGAAAUUCAGAAGCAAAAAUAAAGUAAGGAAAUAGAUCAACUAAUAUAAUAUUGAAUGUAUUUAAUUGAUGAUGAAAGAAAAACUGUAGACGAGAAGAAUCCCAAUCUACCCCAGAGCCAAGCUCCUCAGAGAAGGAGAAAUUUUUUUCUCUGCCUAACCAUAAUGGUUCACUCAAAUGUGCUUGUGUACCCAUCCCAAUUCACUCACUCCACUAUUUAUACUACUAAGACAUACGUCGUCUAAGAAGUCUACCCCACAUUUUAUUUACCAAAUAUCCUUACCACACUCUUUAUUACAUUAUACCCCUUUUUCAUUAUCAGCCUCACUUGGGUCUCUAUCAAAGACAGACAAAAUCUGAUUCAUGAAAAUAAUAAAAGACAACAAAUCAAGAACAAAAGAAUAACAUAAAAACAGCCAGUCCAGCAAGAAUACAGUCAUGUUCCUACCUUAGUAUCCUAACGAUACUUUUUAUCUAUGCGAUGAAAGGAUGACUAUAUUAACACAUAUAGUAUAUUCCCAAGAUGAGUCAUUCACAAUGCAAUUUAUGCCUCCAAUAAUCAAUAAUUACUUUAACAAACAAACAGUGAUAAUUUUCCCCUUUUACAAAUGACACUCAAUUGAUUGUGAGGCCCACAGCCAAUUAACAAUCAUAACCACAGAAGUAAAGACUCUGCCGCUAGAUACCAGAACUUUGAUGGUGCCAACUUAAUGACUUUGGAUCAUGUUCACAUAUAUACCUAGACUAAAUGUGUUAUUAGAACACAAACACAUUUACAUUGCAGAAAUAAAAUUUUAUACAAAUACUAGGAUCUCAGAGCAAACAUUCGCAACAUUCUAUAGCCACACAUAACUUAAUGUCAUAAACUAAAAGAGAAAUCAACAGAAUGAAAUAAGUUUUGGCAAAACAAACAGCCAACAGGCAAAAAAGAUUGAUGAUAGUUCAACUCAUGGAAGCAGUUACAUGAAAAUGCAUAUAGAGCAUACCUUUCAGUUACAAUUAAUUUUAUAGGUUGCAUAAUUUAUAGGAAUGAAAAAGAUGCACCAAAACAUGAUAACUAACAACUACAAAAAAAUUCAAGUAUGACCUCAAUUGUCACGGAAUUUUCUGAGAUGUCCACAAUCUUGCCUCUGAAGGUGUCCACCAACCACUUAAUCUGUAAACUCCCAGCCAAAAGAAAAAGAAAAUAAAUUAAUAAAUAAAUAAAGAGAAGCAAACAAUGAAAUGAACCACACGCCCAAAUCCCAACACCCAAAAAUUACUAAGCAGGUACCUCAGCACGGUUUUGGGGAUCUGCAUUCACCUUUAAGAGCAUCAAUUCACGUUCUACCUGUGGUUCAUUUGAAAGAUCUUCUACCUAGUUCAAAAAUCAAACUCUUCAAUAUUUUCAGCAUUAAACUUUUAUUUAUUCUACAUAAAAUAAGCACAUGCAAAAACGAAAAAGCAAGACAAAAAUAUACAACAGAAUCUCACAUAAACACAGAGAAAGAGAGAAGUAUAAGAGUGAAACCUUCAAAACAUUGACAAGCUUCUGAAGCUGCUCAACAACUUGUUGUAAAACCCUAUUGGUUCCAGAAACAACAAUUGAGAAAAGAGCCCUAUCUUGAUUAAGACCAACAGCUAGUGACUCAAUGUUGUAUCCUCUUCUCGCGAACACUCCAGCAAUCCGAUUAAUCAUUCCACUCUCAUCGCCAACGAACACCGAAAUAGUAUGUCUCCGAACCCUACAUUAUCAUUCACCGUACCUUAUAAUAAUCAUAAUUAAUUAACUAAUCACAAAUCAGAAUAUUAACUAACUCGCUACUAGUUGUAAUUAUUUUAUUACAUUAGUAAUGGAAUUGAACAGAAAGUGAUAAGAAUACUUGCUUUGAUCGAGAAGGGGAAGUGACGGGACCGUUGGAGGAAACGGUUGUGUCAGCAGAAGUUGCGGCGGAGAGGGUGAGUUUGUUGCGGCGGGGAGUGGAUGUUGUUGGGAAGAAGAGAGUGGUUGAAUUUAGUUGAAGUGAAAAUGGAGAAAGAGAGUGAGAAUGGGAGAAUUUGAAGGUAUGAAUUGGAGUUAGUGUGGCGGCCAUAGCGAGAAAUGCAGAGAAGCAAAUUGAAAUGAAAUAUCAGUGAGUGGGGACGGAAGUUUUUAGUGUAUUU
rnacentral:lncRNA from 1 species